rnacentral:rRNA from 1 species
AUACGGAGGUGGCUAGCGUUGUUCGGAUUUACUGGGCGUAAAGCGCACGUAGGCGGUUUAUCAAGUUAGGCGUGAAAGCCCCGGGCUCAACCCGGGAAUUGCGCUUAUUACUGAUAGACUAGAGAGCGGGAGAGGGUAGCGGAAUUCCCAGUGUAGAGGUGAAAUUCGUAGAUAUUGGGAAGAACACCAGUUGCGAAGGCGGCUACCUGGACCGGUACUGACGCUGAGGUGCGAAAGCGUGGGGAGCAAACAGGAUUAGAAACCCCAGUAGUCC